rnacentral:rRNA from 1 species
CAGUCGCCGCGGUAACACGGAGGGUGCAAGCGUUAUCCGGAUUUAUUGGGUUUAAAGGGUCCGUAGGCGGAUCUGUAAGUCAGUGGUGAAAUCUCACAGCUUAACUGUGAAACUGCCAUUGAUACUGCAGGUCUUGAGUAAAUUUGAAGUGGCUGGAAUAAGUAGUGUAGCGGUGAAAUGCAUAGAUAUUACUUAGAACACCAAUUGCGAAGGCAGGUCACUAAGAUUUAACUGACGCUGAUGGACGAAAGCGUGGGGAGCGAACAGGAUUAGAUACCCGCGUAGUCCCUGUCUCUUAUAC